rnacentral:sRNA from 1 species
UGAAGAGGAACAAAGGCUAAGUUCGCAACAUCGUGUUGCAACGCCUUUGUGACCUGCAUCGUGCAGG